CUAAACCUUAACCUUCAAUUUGCCUGUAUUAUGGAAUAGUUGGUGAAUGUAUAUGCCUUUUCUGGGGAUAUUGAUGACUAUUACAAGAUUGGAUCGAUAGAAACCCGUUGUUUCGUUUAUUACACGAACUUGAGCUUCAUCGCAGCUUAAUUCUUUAACGUACACCGAAGUGUGUCAUGAACAGGUAAGCAAACCAUUUGUCCAUGCAUUUAAUCAUCACUUAAGACUUAAAGCGGCGCGAUAUCUAGCUUUGUAUCAAACGCUCAGUGAUUCUCUUGACAACGAAUGAGGUAGGAAAGAAAGAACGAGAAUGACAUGUGUUACUCCGCUUAUGGCAAUGAAACAAAAGUGUGAGUACAGUCGCACGAGAAAUUGUUGUUCGCAUCGCUCUUUUGCCGUGCGCUACGUGCUCACUCGAAAAACUGUGACGUCAGGCCAGCGGUCAAAGAAUUAAGCUGUAUAAUGGGGAUACCAGUAUGAUAAAGCCAAAGCGAAGCAAAGAUCGACCAGAAGAAUUAUACGCACUGUCGAAGCAAUUCCAUCGCGAUCCGCCCACUCGAAUUGAUCGCUCCUGGUAGACGUUUGGCGAGGAGGUGAAAACAUUUCUCGAAUCAGAACCGUUAAAGCUGUUCAAAUGCGAAAUUGUCGAACCGAUGGUCACCUUCGAUACAGACUAUGAGCCCUUUGUGCAAAGCAUUAACAAGAACUACAAACUGACGCUUCCGGAUCUAGCCGCAAGAAAUUACACCAAGACCCAGCCUCUUGUUCACUGCUACGUCUUUUCUUAUCGGAAGAGAAGCAACGAGAGGAGCGACAUCUCGAAAUGGUGAUGAGCCACAGCCCACAGAGCAGUCUUCGGAACGUCGACAAAAAUGUCUGCCAAAAAAACUCUACCUCCUUUUCGAAUCAUGUUUUGCCGUAUUCCACAAUGGACGCGCAAGCAUACGAAAGGAAAUUGCAAACUGGCUCCGGUUAACAGACAGUAGUGGUAGACUUUAUGUGAUGCGUUCCAAGAGUACCACCAACUGGUAUUGGUGGUUGGUACUUGAACUACUUUUUUCCCGAGUUACCCGAAUGAUGCCUUCCAGGGACAUUCGCGUAACUGGGAGUUUCGCACAACUCGAAUGAUAAGUUUUUCAGUUAAAAAAUUAAUGUUAUACAAUUAUUUAUGAGGAAAUGUAACCAUUCGCGUAGAAAAUUUGUUUAGUGUUUAGUGUUCAGUGACUUCUAACGAUUGUUAUAACCGCAAUUCAUUUUACAUUUUUCAAUUGUUGCGUUAAAUUGUAGUGCUAGGAAAAAAGAAUCUCAGAAGAGCUUCGUAUAUUCGAAUCCCAGUUCUGGUUGGGAUUGGAAACUUUGAAACCCAAGCCCAAUGUGGUCUAGCAUUUUUUUCAAGUUUGCAUCGUGGGGGGACGGGGGCGGGGGGGUUAGUUACAGCUGAAAUAAUGGGUCAUUUUGUU